UACGGAGGGUGCGAGCGUUGUCCGGAAUCACUGGGCGUAAAGGGCGCGUAGGCGGCCUGGUAAGUAGGGGGUGAAAUCCUGCGGCUUAACCGCAGGGCUGCCUUCUAAACUGUCAGGCUCGAGCACGGUAGAGGCAGAUGGAAUUCCCGGUGUAGCGGUGGAAUGCGUAGAGAUCGGGAAGAACAUCAGUGGCGAAGGCGGCAUCCUGGACCGGCAUUGACGCUGAGGCGCGAAAGCCAGGGGAGCAAACAGG
rnacentral:rRNA from 1 species